AGUGAACGCUGGCGGUAGGCCUAACACAUGCAAGUCGAACGGCAGCACAGUAAGAGCUUGCUCUUACGGGUGGCGAGUGGCGGACGGGUGAGGAAUACAUCGGAAUCUACUUUUUCGUGGGGGAUAACGUAGGGAAACUUACGCUAAUACCGCAUACGACCUACGGGUGAAAGCAGGGGAUCUUCGGACCUUGCGCGAUUGAAUGAUCCGAUGUCGGAUUAGCUAGUUGGCGGGGUAAAGGCCCACCAAGGCGACGAUCCGUAGCUGGUCUGAGAGGAUGAUCAGCCACACUGGAACUGAGACACGGUCCAGACUCCUACGGGGGGCGGCAGUGGGGAAUAUUGGACAAUGGGCGCAAGCCUGAUCCAGCCAUACCGCGUGGGUGAAGAAGGCCUUCGGGUUGUAAAGCCCUUUUGUUGGGAAAGAAAAGCAGCAGGUUAAUACCCCGCUGUUCUGACGGUACCCAAAGAAUAAGCACCGGCUAACUUCGUG
rnacentral:rRNA from 1 species